rnacentral:tRNA from 1 species
AGCCCCGAAGUAUAAUAUAUAUAUAUUAGGUUGCAAGCCUAAAGAGGUUAAUAAUGUUGACCGGGGCUU